GACGAACGCUGGCGGCGUGCUUAACACAUGCAAGUCGAACGGAAAGGCCCUGCUUUCGUGCGGUGCUCGAGUGGCGAACGGGUGAGUAACACGUGAGUAACCUGCCCUUGACUUUGGGAUAACUUCAGGAAACUGGGGCUAAUACCGGAUAGGAGCUCCUGCUGCAUGGUGGGGGUUGGAAAGUUUCGGCGGUUGGGGAUGGACUCGCGGCUUAUCAGCUUGUUGGUGGGGUAGUGGCUUACCAAGGCUUUGACGGGUAGCCGGCCUGAGAGGGUGACCGGCCACAUUGGGACUGAGAUACGGCCCAGACUCCUACGGGAGGCAGCAGUGGGGAAUAUUGCACAAUGGGCGGAAGCCUGAUGCAGCAACGCCGCGUGCGGGAUGACGGCCUUCGGGUUGUAAACCGCUUUCGCCUGUGACGAAGCGUGAGUGACGGUAAUGGGUAAAGAAGCACCGGCUAACUACGUG
rnacentral:rRNA from 1 species